CUGGCUCAGGACGAACGCUGGCGGCGUGCCUAAUACAUGCAAGUCGAGCGGACAGAUGGGAGCUUGCUCCCUGAUGUUAGCGGCGGACGGGUGAGUAACACGU
rnacentral:rRNA from 1 species